GAUGAACGCUGGCGGCGUGCCUAAUACAUGCAAGUCGAGCGAACAGACGAGGAGCUUGCUCCUCUGACGUUAGCGGCGGACGGGUGAGUAACACGUGGAUAACCUACCUAUAAGACUGGGAUAACUUCGGGAAACCGGAGCUAAUACCGGAUAAUAUAUUGAACCGCAUGGUUCAAUAGUGAAAGACGGUUUUGCUGUCACUGAUAGAUGGAUCCGCGCCGCAUUAGCUAGUUGGUAAGGUAACGGCUUACCAAGGCAACGAUGCGUAGCCGACCUGAGAGGGUGAUCGGCCACACUGGAACUGAGACACGGUCCAGACUCCUACGGGAGGCAGCAGUAGGGACUCUUCCGCAAUGGGCGAAAGCCUGACGGAGCAACGCCGCGUGAGUGAUGAAGGUCUUCGGAUCGUAAAACUCUGUUAUUAGGGAAGAACAAAUGUGUAAGUAACUAUGCACGUCUUGACGGUACCUAAUCAGAAAGCCACGGCUAACUACGUG
rnacentral:rRNA from 1 species